GUAGAGCAGAACCCGAAAAAGUAAUUCUCAGUUCAGAUUGCAGGCUGCAACUCGCCUGCAUGAAGUCGGAAUUGCUAGUAAUCGCGGAUCAGCAUGCCGCGGUGAAUACGUUCCCGGGCCUUGUACACACCGCCCGUCAAACCAUGAGAGCUGGAAACACCCGAAGCUGGUAGCCUAACCGUAAGGAGGGCGCCAUUGAAGGUGGGGCUAGUGAUUAGGGUUAAGUCGUAACAAGGUAAC
rnacentral:rRNA from 1 species